GCCUGGGGAGUACGGCCGCAAGGUUAAAACUCAAAUGAAUUGACGGGGGCCCGCACAAGCGGUGGAGCAUGUGGUUUAAUUCGAUGCAACGCGAAGAACCUUACCUACUCUUGACAUCCAGAGAAUUUAGCAGAGAUGCUUAAGUGCCUUCGGGAGCUCUGAGACAGGUGCUGCAUGGCUGUCGUCAGCUCGUGUUGUGAAAUGUUGGGUUAAGUCCCGCAACGAGCGCAACCCUUAUCCUUUGUUGCCAGCGAUUCGGUCGGGAACUCAAAGGAGACUGCCGGUGAUAAACCGGAGGAAGGUGGGGAUGACGUCAAGUCAUCAUGGCCCUUACGAGUAGGGCUACACACGUGCUACAAUGGCGUAUACAAAGAGAAGCGACCUCGCGAGAGCAAGCGGAACUCAUAAAGUACGUCGUAGUCCGGAUUGGAGUCUGCAACUCGACUCCAUGAAGUCGGAAUCGCUAGUAAUCGUAGAUCAGAAUGCUACGGUGAAUACGUUCCCGGGCCUUGUACACACCGCCCGUCACACCAUGGGAGUGGGUUGCAAAAGAAGUAGGUAGCUUAACCUUCGGGAGGGCGCUUACCACUUUGUGAUCCAUGACUGGGGUGAAGUCGUAACAAGGUAACCGUAGGGGAACCUGCGGUUGGAUCACCUCCUUA
rnacentral:rRNA from 1 species